CCCGAAUUUAAAAGAGCUGACUAAUAAUUUAUUUUGUUGUUGAAUAAACAUUUAUAAUUAUUAGUUUGUAAUGAAACGUUAUUCGUUUUUAAAUUUAUCUGGUUUUUUAAGAAGUAAAUUUAAUUUAUUUUACCUUAAAUAUUAUAUCUAUUAUUUGGUUUGAUGUUUGGGUGAGUAAAAAUCCAAGGGGAUUAGCUUUUGGAUAUUAUUAUAAGCUUGUAUAUUUUAUAUAGUUUAUAGGAUUAGGAUUUUCCAUUAAUAAGAGGAUGUUAUAAUUAACUAUUUAAUAUUGAUUAUUUAUAUAAGUUUUAAUUUUAUUAUUAAAAUUUUAGUUUUAAUUUAUGAGGCUAAGAAAUAAUGAUUGAAUUAGUAUAUGUUAAUGUAUUUGAUUUUUUUUUAUUUAGGUUAUGUGAAGGAAUUCGGCAAAUGAUUUUUCACCUGUUUAAUAAAAACAUGGCCUUUUGUAAAUGAUUUAAGGUCUGGCCUGCCCAAUGAUUGAUUGAAUGGCCGCAGUAUUUUGACUGUGCAAAGGUAGCAUAAUCAUUAGUUUCUUAAUUAGAAGCUGGAAUGAAUGGUUUGAUGAAAAAAUAACUGUCUCCAUAUAAUUGACUUAGAAUUUUAAUUUUGAGUGAGAAAGCUCAAAUUUUUUAAGAAGACGAGAAGACCCUAUAGAGUUUUACAUUAAUUUUAAUUAAGUGAUUAUGGGUUUUAAUUUUUUUGUUUAAGGUUAGUGUUUUGUUGGGGUGAUAUUAAAAUUUAAUAAACUUUUAAUUUGUUUUUACAUUAAUUUGUGAAUAUUUGAUCCUAUUUUUUAGAUUAUAAGACUAAAUUACCUUAGGGAUAACAGCGUAAUUUUUUUGGAGAGUUCUAAUCGAUAAAAAAGUUUGCGACCUCGAUGUUGGAUUAAAGUUAAAUUUUGGUGUAGAAGCUGAAGUGUUUAGGUCUGUUCGACCUUUAAAACUUUACAUGAUCUGAGUUUAAACCGGUGUGAGCCAGGUUGGUUUCUAUCUCUUGUAUAUUAAAAUAUUUUAGUACGAAAGGACCAAAUAU
rnacentral:rRNA from 1 species